rnacentral:lncRNA from 10 species
CUGCCAUAUUUAUCCAGCCUACCCCACAGAAAGUCUACCCUCUCUCUGACUGACACAUGGCCCCUUUGCUUUUCAGAAUGAACCUUCAUCUGGGGCUAGGGCUGGCCAUGGCAGACAUAACAGGUGAGGGAAGCAUUCUUCAAAGUCCAGGAACUGGAGCAGGGAGCUCUUCCCAAGACAGUGGGGGGGGUACCAGAGCUGCAGUAGCAAAUUAACCAGAAGUGGCAUAGAAAGACAGUCCUAAGGGAAAAGAGGUGAGCAUAAAAGCCAAAUCUUUGGAAUUAGAAAAUUAAGGCCAAGCAAAGGAGAUUAGAGGCAAACUGGAUAGGCAGAUUGAGUAGUUGUGUUGAAGGUAGCUUGGUAUUUGAUGCUGGCUUUUUGGGCCUGCAGGGCAUUAUGCGUGAAUGAAUUGGUCCCACAUAAAGGGGCAGGUGUAGGGUGGCCUUGCUAGAACUAGGGCCAAUGCUUAAGCUCUACUUAGUUUGAUGGGAGUCUAAACAUGGUAUUCAGGGCUUGUCAAUCCCUCCCUCAGGAAACCUGGUCCUUAAACAACUAGCUGCUAGCUGGAAUCCAGCCCCCCAAAUGCGCUGGUCAUCAGAAACCACCAUACAGUCAUUUUGUCUGAUCAUGAGAGUCUCCUAUAGUUUACAUUUCUGCUGGAGACUCUUUUAAUGAAUACUGUCAGUACAUAAGCCCCAGACACCAGCACAAGUCCACGUGACACCUGGCUCUUCCCAUCACUCACACAUUGCCUAGGCCCAGUUAUCUUGUCACAUCAGUCCUGCUUGGCUCUAUUUCUGUCACCUUCAGUCAUAGGCAUGUCCUAUGAGCAGAAGGAAAUUUUCCCAGGAUGACAGACACUUCUUUAAGGGGAAAUGAAGUUGACAGAAUUCACUGCUGCCCAAGAUGAGGAACUCAGACCCAGAAGAACCAAGUGACUUGCCAAAAGUCCUUCGGCUGUUUCAGCAAGAGCAAGAACUAGGGUUCCCAGUGCAGUUUUCUUUACACUCCAAUUUAGUAGAAGCAUGAGCCACAUGGGGACAUUUUGGCUCCUGAUAGACCACAGACAAAACAGUGGUCCCCUAAGAUUAUAAUGGAACUUCCCUAUAUAGGUGUACUAAUUUUUACCUUUUACACCGUAUUUUUACUGUAUCUUUAUUUAUUUAGUUAGUUAGUUAGUUAGUUUUUGAGACAGAUUUUUGCUCUUAUUGCCCAGGCUGGAGUGCAAUGGCGUGAUCUCGGCUCACUGCAACCUCUGCCUCCCAGGUUCAAGCGAUUCUCCUGCUUCAGCCUCCCGAGUAGCUGGGUUUACAGGCACCCACCACCACACCCAGCUAAUUUUUUGUAUUUUCAGUAGAGACGGGUUUUCACCAUGUUGGCCAGGCUUGUCUCAAACCCCUGACCUCAGGUGAUCCACCCACCCAGCCUCCCAAAGUGCUGGGACUACAGGCAUGAGCCACCGUGCAUGGCCUACUGUAUCUUUUAUAUGUUUAGAUAUAUCUAGAUGCAAAAAUACCAAUGUGUUACAAUUGCCUGCGGUAUUCAGUACAGUACAUGCCGUACAGGUUUGUUGCCUAAGAGCAGUAGGCUACACCAUAUAGCCUAGGACUGCAAUGGGCUGCUGCAUCCAGGCUUAAGUAAGUACACUCCGUGAUGUUUGCACAAUGACAAAAUGGCCUAACAACACAUUUCUCAGAAGGUAUCCCCUUCUUUAAGUAACACAUGACUACACAGUGUUCAGUCAAAGAAAGGGCAGAUCUAAUAACUUGAAUUUAAAAUCUUCAUCCCCAAGCCAGCCUCAUAAGAAGGCUGCCACUCAGGAGCUGAUGUGGUGGGGUGAACAGAGAAUCAGAUACACAUUGAGGAAUCCUAAUGCCAGUCCAUUCUGGCUAGUGGUAGAUGAUGCAAUGGGGGUAAGUCAUAAAACCUCUCUGAAUGUCAUUUUCCUCAGCAGAAAAUUGCUGUAAAGUCACCCACCACAACCGCUUCAUAGGGUGUUAUGCUGCUACAACAGGUCAAUAUGUAGAAAAAUGUGGAAAUUAUGAUGUUUGCAGAUGUUAGGGAAAAGUAGGGAUCCGUACACUGUUUCUGAGGGGCCAGAUAAUAAAAUGUUAGGUUUUCAGGCCAAAUACAGUCUCUAUUGCAGCUGUGCAAGCCUGUUGUUGUAGCACAAAAGUAGCAAAAGACAAUCCCUAAAUGAACGAAUGUGGCUGUUUCAAUAAAACUUUAUGGAUAAAACAGGCAGCAGAUUAAAUGUAGCCUGUGGGCCAUAGGUUGCUCACCCCUGGGAUAAAGCCACUCACUUUGCUUAGUGCUUGUUCACUGGAAAAGCCUCCCUGCCUCCUCUACCAUCUCCCUUCCCUAAACUCAGGGCUGAUGACUCAGCCCAAGCCUUAUUUUUGGCGCAUCAGCUUUUUAAAGCAAAACACAGCUCACUGGAGGGGUUUAAGACACAUAGUCAUCUGCACCAGUAGGAAAAAAAAGCUAAAAGCACAUUUAUAGCCACAGUCACAGCCGUCCUUCUCCAUGGAUAUGUUCAAGUCUGCAUUUAGACACACAGCUGCAGACAUAAAGUAAUAUAGAAAAAGGAACGGAGCUGUGGAUUUCAUUGAGGCUGAAACAGAGGACUAGAUAGAGGUAUAAAAAACAACAUUUUUACUUCCAAGCCCUAACUUUUGAAAGCACAUUCACAUUUAUUUUCACUUAUCGUGAUGAGAUGAUGAGGGAGUUUUGACAGAUUUGAGAGGAAGCAGGUACCUUACCUGCUGUCAGGAAUCCGGCUGGUGGCAGAGCCCAGGCUCAAACAAGCCCAGGUGCUCAUCUUUAUGAACCCAUCUGAGCACUCUUUUCUCAGCCCAAGAACAGGCACAGCCCUGAGCCCUGGGCUUGGCCACAGUGUGGCCUUUUGCAGUGGUUAUGCUCCUUACCGACUCCUUGCCACAGUAUCAUAAAGUCAGUCUUCUUUGAGGAUAUCACAUUAUCCUCCCCUUGAUUAAAAUGAUGUCUGUUCCCUCAAAACAAAGAGUAUUUUCAGCCAGGUGCUGUGGCUCAUGCCUGUAAUCCCAGCACUUUGGGAGGCUGAGGCGGGCAGAUCACUUAAGGCCAGGAGUUGGAGACCAACCUGGCCAACAUGGCAAAAUCCUGUCUCUACUAAAAAUACAAAAUAAUUAGCCAGGUGCAGUGGUGCACACCUGUAGUCCCAGCUACUCAGGAGGCUGAUUCAGGAGAAUCGCUUGAACCUUGGAGGCAGAGGUUACAGUGAGCCAAGAUCAAACCACUGCACUCCAGCCUGGGUGAGAGAGAAAGACACUGUCUCAAAUAAUAAUAAUAAUAAUAAUUUCGAAAACAGAAAACCCAGUAUGUUCAAUACUCUGGGAUCAGUGAAAGACUACAUCAAGUAAUCUUCAAAAAGUGCUGAAAUUGGACAGUGCUGGCUUGAUCAUUUCUUGGACUGUGGAUAGGUUAAUCAUCUCUGAGUGAGCUAGAAUUCAAGACGUUCCUCAGGCAAAAAGCAGGACGUUAGAUGAGUCUUUGAUGCCAUUGAAAUCUAUGGUAGCAAAGGAUCACCAGCCUUGAAACAGAAGAGGACAGCAUCUGCAGCAGGCUUUGGCAGAAGAAACACAGCCUGAAUGCUGACCGUAUCUUAGAAGAGUGAAGAAGUUUUGCGGUGGGGUUGGUGCGACUAAGCCAAGAACCUGUUGAAGAUGUCAUAGGUCACCACACAGAGCACCGGAAAUGCCGAUUGCACUUUGAGGGCUGAACCACACAACCCACCUGUGGGAAAAGAAAUUGCUUGGAAGGCAAGUGCAGGAUGGUCUCGGACCCAGGUAAAAAGCACGGGGCCACCUAAAACUGAGGUCUUGCCACAGGCAGCCAGAUGUUGAGGGACCACCUUGGCAGUCAAACAAAAGUAAAGAUCGGAAAGGUUCUCAAAAGCGCCAAGACGUGCAGCUGCAAUGCUAACAUAACAUCCACUCUAUAGUAAGCUAUAUCCAGCUGAUACCAGCCUGAGUCGAAGUCUGAACUGGGAAGUAUGGAAAAGGGAGGACAGGCUGAGCCCAAUUUCGAUUAGCCUGUGGAAAAUACACAUUUGUGGGAAUAAACUGAAUUUGAAUACAAAGUUUGUC